UACGUAGGGGGCAAGCGUUGUCCGGAUUUAUUGGGCGUAAAGAGCGUGUAGGCGGCCAGAUAGGUCAGCUGUGAAAACUCGAGGCUCAACCUCGAGAUGUCGAUGGAAACCGUCUGGCUAGAGUCCGGAAGAGGAGUGUGGAAUUCCUGGUGUAGCGGUGAAAUGCGCAGAUAUCAGGAAGAACACCUAUGGCGAAGGCAGCACUCUGGGACGGUACUGACGCUGAGACGCGAAAGCGUGGGGAGCGAACAGG
rnacentral:rRNA from 1 species